UACAGAGGGGGCAAGCGUUAUUCGGAAUUAUUGGGCGUAAAGCGCGUGUAGGCGGCCAGAUAGGUCUGCUGUGAAAACUCGAGGCUCAACCUCGAGCUGUCGGCGGAAACCAUCUGGCUAGAGUCCGGAAGAGGAGAGUGGAAUUCCUGGUGUAGCGGUGAAAUGCGCAGAUAUCAGGAAGAACACCUAUGGCGAAGGCAGCUCUCUGGGACGGUACUGACGCUGAGACGCGAAAGCGUGGGGAGCGAACAGG
rnacentral:rRNA from 1 species